GACGAACGCUGGCGGCGCGCUUAACACAUGCAAGUCGAGCGAUGAAAUUUCGACAGAUCCCUUCGGGGUGAAGAUGAAAUGGAUUAGCGGCGGACGGGUGAGUAACACGUGAGUAACCUGCCUUAGACAUUGGGAUAGCCUCGGGAAACCGGGAUUAAUACCAAAUGAAAUCACAUAUGCCCAUGCAUAAAUGAUCAAAGCUCCGGCGGUCUAAGAUGGACUCGCGUCCCAUUAGCUAGUUGGUGAGGUAACGGCCCACCAAGGCGACGAUGGGUAGCCGGCCUGAGAGGGUGAACGGCCACAUUGGAACUGAGAAACGGUCCAAACUCCUACGGGAGGCAGCAGUGGGGAAUAUUGCACAAUGGAGGGAACUCUGAUGCAGCGACGCCGCGUGAACGAAGAAGGCUUUCGAGUCGUAAAGUUCUUUUAUAUGGGAAGAUAAUGACGGUACCAUAAGAAAAAGCCCCGGCUAACUACGUGCCAGCAGCCGCGGUAAUACGUAGGGGGCUAGCGUUGUCCGGAAUCACUGGGCGUAAAGGGUUCGCAGGCGGAAAUGCAAGUCAGGUGUAAAAGGCAGUAGCUUAACUACUGUAAGCAUUUGAAACUGCAUAUCUUGAGAAGAGUAGAGGUAAGUGGAAUUUUUAGUGUAGCGGUGAAAUGCGUAGAUAUUAAAAAGAAUACCGGUGGCGAAGGCGACUUACUGGGCUCAUUCUGACGCUGAGGAACGAAAGCGUGGGUAGCAAACAGG
rnacentral:rRNA from 1 species